AAUUGCCAUUCUGUCAUUUUGCACCAGUUGCUGAUAUCUGCUCCUCUUUUCCUGAAAUCAGCUCCCAAGUGGUUUGAUUUUGAGCUUUUCUGCCCUGUAGCAAAUACUCAAAUUUCUUUGAUUUCAGAUUACCUGUAUACUAAAAGUACUGCUUGGAGAAGGAUGUUAAGCUUAUUGAACGUGAAGGGACUCUGUUGGUGGAGAAAUAAUACCUGAGAUGGCUGCUUGCCACACGAGG